UACGAAGGGGGCUAGCGUUGUUCGGAUUUACUGGGCGUAAAGGGCGCGCAGGCGGCUUAUUUUGUCAGGCGUGAAAGCCCCGGGCUUAACCUGGGAACUGCGUUUGAUACGGAUGGGCUAGAGUUCGGGAGAGGAGAGUGGAAUUCCCAGUGUAGAGGUGAAAUUCGUAGAUAUCGGGAGGAACACCAGUGGCGAAGGCGGCGAUCUGGGAAGAUACUGACGCUGAGGUGCGAAAGCGUGGGGAGCAAACAGG
rnacentral:rRNA from 1 species